AGAAAAGAGAGUUGAAAGAUAAAAUCUUCACAAAAAUGGCAUUGCACAUUUACCAAUCUUUUCUAAUGGGACUUUUAUACAUUGGGCUGCUCCUCGCUUCGAGCCAAUAUUUGCUUAGAUCCCCAAGAAAGUCUGGUUCUUAGUUUUGUACAUCAUUGUUACCAUAUAAAUCUAUAUCUUAAAGACUGAUAGAGGAGAAUGUUUCGAUGCACUUCGUUGUUGUUGUAUGGUUUAAAAUUAAGAUAAAUUAGAUUACUAUAAAAACUUAUAUAUGUUUUACUAAAGAUUUAAUAAACAAUCUCAUAAAAUAAUAAAUAAAAUAAUCCAAUAAAUAAUGCAAGAAACAUAUCUCUCCAGAGCUUUUAUUAUUCACGGUCGAAGAAUAUUAAGAUGUCAGCAGAAAAAAAGUGGAAAGCAAUGGUCAAGCACAAUGUGAAGGAAUGAUGCAACCUGGGAAUAUAAUUAUGCUCUAAAAAAUUAGGGUGAAAAUUGUUUAGAUUAAAAGCAUGUAUACUUUUAACAUUGCAAAUGCAUGUAUACUUUUAAUUAAUAAAUACAAUUUUAAUUGAGUAAUUAA